rnacentral:tRNA from 1 species
AAAUCCGUUGACUUUAAAAAUCGUGAGGGUUCAAGUCCCUCUAUCCCCAAAAAGC